rnacentral:rRNA from 1 species
GUUAUCCGGAUUUACUGGGCGUAAAGGGUUGCGUAGGUGGUUUCUUAAGUCAGGAGUGAAAGGCUACGGCUCAACCGUAGUAAGCUCUUGAAACUGGGAAACUUGAGUGCAGGAGAGGAAAGUGGAAUUCCUAGUGUAGCGGUGAAAUGCGUGGAUAUUAGGAGGAACACCAGUUGCGAAGGCGGCUCUCUGGACUGUAACUGACACUGAGGCACGAAAGCGUGGGGAGC